rnacentral:rRNA from 1 species
AACGAACGCUGGCGGCAGGCUUAACACAUGCAAGUCGAACGCUCCGCAAGGGGAGUGGCAGACGGGUGAGUAACGCGUGGGAAUCUACCCAUCCCUACGGGAUAACGCAUGGAAACGUGUGCUAAUACCGUAUACGCCCUACGGGGGAAAGAUUUAUCGGGGAUGGAUGAGCCCGCGUUGGAUUAGCUAGUUGGUGGGGUAAAGGCCUACCAAGGCGACGAUCCAUAGCUGGUCUGAGAGGAUGAUCAGCCACAUUGGGACUGAGACACGGCCCAAACUCCUACGGGAGGCAGCAGUGGGGAAUAUUGGACAAUGGGCGCAAGCCUGUUCCAGCCAUGCCGCGUGAGUGAUGAAGGCCUUAGGGUUGUAAAGCUCUUUCACCGGAGAAGAUAAUGACGGUAUCCGGAGAAGAAGCCCCGGCUAACUUCGUG